rnacentral:tmRNA from 1 species
GGGGGCGAUCUGGAUUCGACGAGGAUUGGAUCGUAACAGGAGCAUGCCGAGAUGGUGACCAAUCUCGUUAAUAAAAGUCGCAAACUUAUAGUUGCCAACGAUGACAACUACGCGCUAGCUGCCUAAGAAACAGCGAAUGCCAUUUGACCGGAGCCGUUCUUGUGCGUCCGGAGAUCCAUCAACCUUCGGGUUGCGGCGGAUCGCUCAGGUGUCAUAUCUCACAAGAUCGCAGCGAAGUCUGUUUGGCGCGGACCUGCUAAAAACUUAGCCGAAAUCGUCAAUAACGUCCUGGCCUUUGGGCUGUUAACGACUAAAUAAAUAGAAGGUGCUAAGCAUGUAGCGCCUGUUGCGGAAGGUUCGCGGACGCGGGUUCAAUUCCCGCCGCCUCCACCA